AACGCACAUUGCGCCCCUUGGCAUUCCGAGGGGCAUGCCCGUUCGAGCGUCAUUAAAUCCAAUCAAGCCUGGCUUGGUAUUGGGCGUCGGGGUCCCCCGCGCCUCAAUUUCACCGGCUGGCCGUCGCCCGUCUUAGCGUUGUGACACACUUCUCGCUACCGAUGGGACCGGACCACGCCGUCAAAACCCUACGAAUUUCAAUCGAAAUUCGAUUAAGGUUGACCUCGGAUCGGGUAGGAAUACCCGCUGAACUUAA
rnacentral:misc_RNA from 2 species